CCGUCGCCGAGUCCCCCGCGGGGGGCGACAGGCUCCUGCCCCGAGCGCGGCACCGCGUCCCUGCCGAGGGUUUGCAGCCAGCGGCACCGAUCACGGGGCUGUUGAGACAGCUGCAAAUAGAGACAUUGUUUCCUGACCAGUGGAUUACCAAGGGCAGUGUUGAAAUGGCAACAGUAACCCCGGGGGAUCCAGCCUACCUCCUGCUCCCCUCACUCAUCAAACUCCACACCAGCCACCUCAACAGCACCAAGGAACAAUUCAGCUACAACAUCAGCAGGUGCAGGAGGACAGUUGAAUGUGCUUUUGGUAAGCUGAAGGGACACAGUCACUGCGAUCCAGUCUUGUUAAGACUCUAGAUCUGAAACAAGUGGCAGAGGGAGCUUUCACUCUGUUGAGCUUGAGACUGUAGCCACCAGAGCCAAACCCACAGUGGUGUAUACAACAUUGCUAAAUGAUGCACAACGAAUGUGCGGGUCAACUGACACUAUUAUGAACAGUUCCAGCUCCAGCACAUGGUGCGCAUGCACUCUUGGAAUCCACACAGGGACCAUCACUCAAAGAAGAAUAAAAGCUGCCUUAGGAUAACUCCACCAGCUUGGUUCAAUGCUUUGCUGAAGUUAGCACUCAUUCCUUGUGCUCCUACUGUACUUUUCC